rnacentral:lncRNA from 1 species
GGGCGAAUUCGUAGACCCUUUUCUGGUCAGGAAGAGACUUGGACACACUCUCCUUCUGCAUGCACCUCUUUGCCCAUGCAAUAAACUUUGGGUGCUUUGCCUCCACACUGAAGUUUCCAAUUUUCUCGCGCGCAUAAAACCAGCUAUAGGUAGGAAUAAGUGCCACGUCCACGAAUCCGAGAUUCUCACCCCCAAAGUAAGGCUUGUCUCCAAGCUCUUCUUCUAACAACCUUAUGCACUCAAGGAAUUCCCUCUUUGCUGCUUCUUGUUCUUCUCCUUUGGUUCUCCAUGUCCUCUUUGCACUCUCAUAUACCUGCGUUUCACACCUCAGGCGAACCAUAAAAACUAUGUAUAAUUGGAUCAAUUAUAUUUUAGACCUAUGUAAUGUAUAUAUAUAAAGUAAAAGAUAGAGAAUGGUGAAACAUUCAAAAUUAAAAGAAAAUUCAGAUACUAAAUCUUAUUUUUAUGAAACACAACUACCCAUUAAUUAUCUUUUUUAAUUCUAAAAUAAAUUUAUAAAAAAAAGCCUUUCGUAGGCUCGAAAGCGCGUGCAGAGAGGCUAAUUAUUUAUAAUGUCACAGUUAUAUAACUUGGCGUUUUUCGGUUAGAGUGGAUUUUUACACAUAUUAUCUUUCAAUGAACAGUUCAUAUUGAUUGUGUGGGGCACCCAAUCGAGAUGUUAUUAACUUACUAACUAAUUAGCACUUAUUGUAACACUGAAAACACAAGCAUUUAUCCUAUUUCCAUUUAAUUAUCAUUCUAAUAAUUUACACAUCCUCAGUAAUAGUUCCAUGUAUCACAAAAAUCUUAAAGUUCUAACAUAUUCCAAACACAAAUUAGUAAUAUUACCUUCUUGUCAACGAAGUCAGCCCAGAACAUGGCUUGGGCUCUAAGGUAAGGAUCAGAGGGCAAAAGAGGAGCCUUAUCCUUCCAAACCUCGUCGAUGUACUGAACCGCAAUGAGAGACUCGGAGACCGGUUUGCCAUUGUGAAUGAGAACCGGGAUCUUCUUGUGAACCGGGUUCAUCUGCAGCAAGAGUGAGCUCUUGUUGGUCAAGUAGUCCUCUUCCCUGGACUCGUACUGAAUACCCUUCUCUGCCAGAGCGAUUCUCACCCUCAUCCCAUAAGGGCUGGCCCAGUAGUUCAACAACACCACCUUUUCCGCCAUUGACAUAUUUGAAUUGCUUGAUACAAAGUUACAGGGGUUACAAAUAUAAUGAUUGAAAUAGUAAAAGCUUUUUAUUCUCCUUGAUGACAACUGGGGACCUCUGAUCCCAUAUAUAUAUACAACAAUGGUGACUGCAGGAUAUUAUUUCCUCCACAAAUUAAAGAGGCCCUAAAGCACUUGCAGAGGCCCAUUGACUUCAAAUUUUAAAAAAAUUUAAAACAAGUUGACUAAGCCCAAAACAGAACAAGCCUAUUUAUUAUGUCCUUAAUAUUUUCUAUUUUAUUGAAUAUAGACAAAUUUUUCUUAUAAUAAGUGAAUUAGUAAGACUCUACAUAGCAAUUUGACAAGUUGCUAGUGGAAUAUGUCCUAAACGGAAAUAGUUGUCUACAAAUAGACCUCUUGACUUGACCCAUCAAACAUAUGGCCUAAAAUAUGGUAGAAGAUAUACCUGAACAGAAGAAGCCUAUCAUACACAAAAAUUCCACACGUAGCACAAGUUGCAAAAGCGAAAGCAAGAAGUAGAUGGAAAACUAUGAUUGGAAUUGGAAAAAACAACACCUUUGUGUCAUGACAAAGGACAAAUAAGGGCACAUACUAUUCAUGUGAAUAGCGACUGUCCUAGCAAUUUUUUCUAUCAUACACAAAAAUUCCACACCUAGCACAAGUUGCAAAAGCGAAAGUAAGAAGUAGAUGGAAAACUAUGAUUGGAAUUGGAAAAAACAACACCUUUGUAUCAUGACAAAGGACAAAUAAGGGCACAUACUAUUCAUGUGAAUAGCGACUGUCCUAGCAAUUUUUUCUAUCAUACACAAAAAUUCCACACGUAGAGCGAAAGCAAGAAGUAGGUGGAAAACUCUGAUUGGAAUUGGAAAACACAACACAUUUGUGUCAUGACAAAGGGCAAGUAAGGGUAAAUACUAUUAAUGUGAAUAGUGACUGUCCUAUCAAUUUUUUCUAUCAUACACAAAAAUUCCACACGUAGUGCAAGUUGCAAAAGCGAAAGCAAGAAGUAGGUGGAAAACUUUGAUUGGAAUUGGAAAACACAACACCUUUGUGCCAUGACAAAGGGCAAGUAAGGGCAAAUACUAUUCACAUGAAUAGUGACUGUCCUAGCAAUUUUUUUAUGCAUUCCCAUCCAUUGUUAGAUAUGAUGAGAGGAAUUUGUAUGGAUUUUGGUGUGGGAAGCGAAGAACAUGGCUAGAUAUUUAUAGGAAAAAAAUUCAGAUUUUUUUAUUUUAUUUUAUAUUUUUUCGGUAUAUAUCCUAAACGGAAAUAGUUGUAUACAAAUAGAACAGUUGACUUGACCCAUAAAAAAAUAUGGUCUCAAAAUAUGGUAGAAGAUAUACACAAAAAUUCCACAUGUAAAAGCGAAAGCAAAGUAGGUGGAAAACUUUGAUUGGAAUUGGAAAACACAACACCUUUAUGCGAUGACAAAGGGCAAGUAAGGGCAAAUACUAUUCAUGUGAAUAGUGACUGUCCUAGCAAUUUUUUGAUGUAUUCCCAUCUAUUGUUAUGGCAACCCAGGGUAACCACUAUUUACAUAAAAUACGGGGAGAGUAAUUUGUAUGGAUUUUGGUAAGUGAAGUGAAGAACAUGACUAGGUAUUUAUAGAAAAAAAUUUUCUUUUAUUUUUUUGGUAUUUAAAUUGAUUGCUGACGUCAGCAUGACGUCACUUGCUUAAGCAAGUCUUGCCUUAGGCUUGCUCAGCUUCGUGGGCCCACUUUUUGCUAUGGCAAUUUGUCCUCUAUGGGUGUUGUUUUUAAAGCCUAGUAGAAGGGGAGGGGGUGGAAGUGCUCUUAAGCAAAACCACAUACAGCAUGCCACGUGACGCCCCUUCCCAAAUUCAGUCGCCAAGUACAUUUUUUUAGCAGAUGCAAACAAAUCAAACACCUUUAGAGCACUUCCAGCAUUUUGCCCCUUGCCAUCAGCUACUAUUCAAGUGAAUAGUGGCUGCCCUCGCAAAAAACAAUGUGUGUUUCCAGCAGUUGCCCUUUGCCAUGGCAAAUAUUAUUCAUUUUUUUGUUUUUUUCACAACUUUUUUUACCUAAACAAUUAAUUUGGAUAAUAUUUUCGAAUAAGAUUUUUGGGUUCCUACGUGUCAAUACUAUUUAUAUCGGAUAAGAUUUUCAGUUUCAAAACUCAUAUCAAGUAUUAAUUGGUAUUUAUAGAAAGAAAAAAAAAUUCAGCAAUUUUUUGGUUUUUUUAUUUUUAAAAUUGAUUUUUUUUUUCAUUUUUUUAUUGCACAAAAAUUGGUUGUCGUUGGAUUGGAGGAAAAAAUCUUAUCGGAGAGCCCAGAGUGCGACACGUGGAAGAGAGCCAUUGGCCGCACUGUAGCGGCGCAUUCAAAUUUUUUUUAACGUUGUUGCACGCGCCAACAUUAAAAAAAAUAUGAACGCCAGGGCUGACGUCAGUGGAAAACUCGGGCCAACGCUCGGACAAGCCUUGCCCUUAGACCAGCCCAGUUUGCUGGAUCCCACCUUGCGCCCGGGCCUUGUAUUGUUGCUGGGAACAGGUUUUUGGGCCAACCCCCUCCCCUUGGUCCCCUUGCUGGAAAUGCUCUUAUAUAUUUGCUUUCAGUCAAGCUAGACAGAGCUUGAAGAAGAAGAAGCUUGUUUUGUGUAUCAGUCAACAAUGGGGGAUGAGGUUGUUCUUUUGGACUUCUGUGCAAGCAUGUUUGCGAUGAGGGCGAGAGUGGCGCUGGCUGAGAAGGGUGUCAAGUAUGAGAACAGAGAGGAGGACUUGAGGAACAAGAGUUCAUUGCUUCUGCAGAUGAACCCGGUUCACAAGAUGAUCCCGGUUCUCAUCCACAACGGUAAACCGAUCUGUGAGUCUCUGAUCAUUGUGCAGUAUGUUGAUGAGGUCUGGAGGGACAAAGCUCCUCUGCUUCCCUCUGAUCCUUACCAGAGAGCUCGGUCAAGGUUCUGGGCUGACUUCAUUGAUAAGAAGGUAAUUAGCUUGUCUAAGUUGUCUCUUGCCUUUUGUUCUAUAUAUAAAGCUGCUAUAUAUACUGAUUGCAAUUCAACUCCAGAAAAAUUAUAGAAAAUUUUGAAAAUUUGAAGUUUUCCCAGGUUAAAAUUUACUUAUAUUAGACCAAAUUGAAAGGAUUUACAUAAAUGAGAAACUGUUUUGUCGUGGGUUUUUCAAUGGGUCACUCUGUUCCACACCAGACCUUGAAACUAUGGUAUGCUCAAUUACAACAUGAUCUUGCUUGCUAUCUGGGAAGAUUGUAUAAAAAAAUAAAAUAAGUCCACUUCUUAAAAAUAUCUUAUUAAUUCUGUGUGUCUGGAUAAAUGAGUGGAAUUUUUUUGAAAAUAGAAACUGAUUAGUGUUAGAGGAGCAACAAGCCUUCAACCUUGGCAAAAACAGAGUUUUAAUUUCAAGUUUUGGAAUGGGGACUAGAAAAAACAGUUUAAUCCAAUUGAAUAAUUUCUAGGAGUUCAUUUUGAUGUAAUGUUUGCAAAAAUUGCAGCUAUACGUUGCUUCGAGGAAAAUAUGGGGCACAAAAGGAGAGGAACAAGAGGCAGGCAAGAAGGAAUUCAUUGAAGCCCUUAAGCAGUUGGAAGGAGAGCUUGGAGACAGGCCUUAUUUUGAGGGUGAGAGCUUUGGGUUCUUGGACAUUGCUCUUAUCCCAUUCUACAGCUGGUUCUAUGCAUAUGAGACUUUUGGAAACUUCAGCACAGAGGCAGAGUGCCCCAAGCUGAUUGAAUGGGCCAAGAGGUGCAUGCAGCGGGAGAGCGUGUCGAAAUCUCUUGCAGACCCUAAAAAGGUGUAUGAGUCUCUUGUUAAUUGGGUAUAGAACAGGCUGCUAGCCAGCCGCAGACUCUAUCAACAUGGUCACCAUGUUAGCAAAUCCUGCAAUCAUAUGUUAGGCUGUUCUUCUGGAUCUUUUUCCUUUCAGCUUUGUUUUUCCAGUCAAUAAUGAUAUUUGCCGUCGACAAUAGUAAUGCAGACACUUUGAUGUGUUUGCCUAUUGUUAUGAAUAAAGUGUUCAUAUGCAGAAAGGGUGUUUCUGAGUUGCAUUUUUUUGGCUGCUUGUUGAGCUUUGUCAUAACAAGUUCACAACAAUUUGAUAAUUUGACUACAAAACGUAUAUGACCAGAGACACAACAAAGUGCCUCCACAAAGUAGAGGGGGCUUGGCAACUUGGCCAACUGCCCUUUUAUUCUAAUUUCAGAACAACCCUAAACAGAGGUUGAAACUUAAAAAACACAGAACAAGUACAUGGAUGAUAUCUUAUUUAUGCCCAUGCUUUUUCCCAUCUACUCCAUUCCAAGUUUACUCUGAAGGCGCAGGGCGAAUUCGUAGACCCUUUUCUGCUCAGGAAGAGACUUGGACACUCUCCUUCUGCAUGCACCUCUUUGCCCAUGCAAUAAACUUUGGGUGCUUUGCCUCCACACUGAAGUUUCCAAAUUUCUCGCGCACAUAAAACCAGCUAUAGGUAGGAAUAAGUGCCACUUCUACGAAUCCGAGGUUCUCACUCCCAAAGUAAGG